CUCAUUCUUCGAGAAUCAGAAAGAUCCUUUCCAGUUUCAAUUUGUUCAUUUGGAAUCUGGGUUCUUCUACUUCAUUUUUAUUUACUUAUUCUUUAUUAUUUUUUUCCCUCGCUUUUCUUUUUUUUAUUUCUUUUUUUUUUUUUUUAUUUUAUUUUAUUCCCUUUCCAUCCAUUCCUUAAGUCCCAUAGGGUUGAUCCUAUAGAAUCUGA
rnacentral:lncRNA from 1 species